GAUAGUCGCUAGGUUCAGGGCCUAGUCUCGCAGGAGUUCGUGGGUUCGAAUCCCAUCCCCCGCACCA
rnacentral:tRNA from 1 species